rnacentral:rRNA from 1 species
UCAGGACGAACGCUGGCGGCGUGCCUAAUACAUGCAAAGUCGAGCGGACAGAAGGGAGCUUGCUCCCGGAUGUUAGCGGCGGACGGGUGAGUAACACGUGGGUAACCUGCCUGUAAGACUGGGAUAACUCCGGGAAACCGGAGCUAAUACCGGAUAGUUCCUUGAACCGCUAUGGUUCAAGGAUGAAAGACGGUUUCGGCUGUCACUUACUAGAUGGACCCGCGGCGCUAUUAGCUAGUUGGUGAGGUAACGGCUCACCUAAGGCGACGAUGCGUAGCCGACCUGAGAGGGUGAUCGGCCUCUACUGGGACUGAGACUCGGCCCAGACUCCUACGGGAGGCAGCUAGUAGGGAAUCUUCCGCUAAUGGACGAAAGUCUGACGGAGCAACGCCGCGUGAGUGAUGAAGGUUUUCGGAUCGUAAAGCUCUGUUGUUAGGGAAGAACAAGUGCAAGAGUAACUGCUUGCACCUUGACGGUACCUAACCAGAAAGCCACGGCUAACUACGUGCCAGCAGCCGCGGUAAUACGUAGGUGGCAAGCGUUGUCCGGAAUUAUUGGGCGUAAAGGGCUCGCAGGCGGUUUCUUAAGUCUGAUGUGAAAGCCCCCGGCUCAACCGGGGAGGGUCAUUGGAAACUGGGAAACUUGAGUGCAGAAGAGGAGAGUGGAAUUCCACGUGUAGCGGUGAAAUGCGUAGAGAUGUGGAGGAACACCAGUGGCGAAGGCGACUCUCUGGUCUGUAACUGACGCUGAGGAGCGAAAGCGUGGGGAGCGAACAGGAUUAGAUACCCUGGUAGUCCACGCCGUAAACGAUGAGUGCUAAGUGUUAGGGGGUUUCCGCCCCUUAGUGCUGCAGCUAACGCAUUAAGCACUCCGCCUGGGGAGUACGGUCGCAAGACUGAAACUCAAAGGAAUUGACGGGGGCCCGCACAAGCGGUGGAGCAUGUGGUUUAAUUCGAAGCAACGCGAAGAACCUUACCAGGUCUUGACAUCCUCUGACAACCCUAGAGAUAGGGCUUUCCCUUCGGGGACAGAGUGACAGGUGGUGCAUGGUUGUCGUCAGCUCGUGUCGUGAGAUGUUGGGUUAAGUCCCGCAACGAGCGCAACCCUUGAUCUUAGUUGCCAGCAUUCAGUUGGGCACUCUAAGGUGACUGCCGGUGACAAACCGGAGGAAGGUGGGGAUGACGUCAAAUCAUCAUGCCCCUUAUGACCUGGGCUACACACGUGCUACAAUGGACAGAACAAAGGGCUGCGAGACCGCAAGGUUUAGCCAAUCCCACAAAUCUGUUCUCAGUUCGGAUCGCAGUCUGCAACUCGACUGCGUGAAGCUGGAAUCGCUAGUAAUCGCGGAUCAGCAUGCCGCGGUGAAUACGUUCCCGGGCCUUGUACACACCGCCCGUCACACCACGAGAGUUUGCAACACCCGAAGUCGGUGAGGUAACCUUUAUGGAGCCAGCCGCCGAA